rnacentral:lncRNA from 1 species
UGGAAUGAGAACCUGCAACCUGAGUGAUUCUACAGUGGACCAGGCUUCUGAUGGAACUAUUACAAGCAUGAAGAAGAGGUGGUGAGAUGGUCCUGCUGACCCCAGGGCAGAUGGCAUUGACAAAGCUGUAUGUGGAAGGUAGGAGAGACAUGGAUACAUCUCAACAGAGCCCAUGAUGGGUACAGAACACUGAGACACUAGGGACAAGGUUUCUGAAGUACCACAUGCCUGAUGUUCCUUCUCUGCCCUGGAGGAGACCAGAAGAUGAAAAGCUUUCUGCGGACCUUCCAAUCUCCUCUUGAAUCGUGCCACAUCCUGCAGAUGUCCCUAGGCAGGACCCUUAACCUUGCUAAGCCUGUUUGUCAACUCCUAUGUAAGUCCAGUGAGACUCAUUUCUCAGGAUUAGACAAUGUCUGCCUGACAUCUAGAAGCAACUAGGUGCUUGCUACUGUGAGAGCCACAGCCUAUGGCUUAGUUCUGUUUCUUUCUUACCAUGAGACUUGGACUGGUUAUUUAACCCUAUGGAGCUUCAAUUCCCUCAUAAAUAUGAUGGGAAAACCAUAAUGUGUAAUAGGGCUCUUGAACGAAAUCUUUGGAAAGAAAAUAUAACAAGCUGGAAGCUUUACUUUUUCCCUGUUGGAGGAGACUCAAAACAUUGAGUUUUCUCUCUCUAGUGAUGUCUAUGCCAAUCAUCAGGCUCUUGCUCUGCCUCCACACUUCCUUGUUUUAGCAAAACUCAGGAGUUCCUUUAAGAAGAAGCUUCAAAGCUCCACCUCUGGCCUUUGGGAGUCUGGAGGACCUAGCUUCAGGGUGAGAUCCCGCUCAACUAAAAGACAACAGGGGCUGGAAUUUGGAAUGACAUUAAACUAUGUGUAGCCCAAGUCUAAGGAAAGGGACUGGACGCUGUGAGAAAAGGGGAAAGGAGGCCUGCCUGGCUUCCACAAAGGCAUACCUACAUAGCGCUCUGGGACAGAGCAGGCAAUGCGCAGGAUUGAGUUGGGUGUGGCACACACGUGUGACCCCAGCAUAUGGAAGGCCAAGGUUCCCCUUUCCUCCUAAGAAGCCUAAUCUACCCUGAAGCUGCCCUCUGGGCCAGAAGCAACCAGAGGCCUCUCUGCCCUCAGCUGUGCAUGGCAGAGAUAGAUCAGAGACAAGAGAACCAAGCAGAAGACCCCUCAGGAGCAUUUGACAACUUCCUUUCUAUAGGAUUCGAAGAGGCCAAAAGUGCCUACAGGCAUGGGAUAGAGUGCUAAGAAACAGGAUGACUGGACAGGGCUUAAGGCAUACCUGGGAAGAAUGAUACAUGAAAAUGAAGGCAGGAGAUCAGUUGACAGGUCUAUGGACCAAAGAAUAGCAAGGAUUAUCAACAAGUUCCCAGAAGCCAGAGAGAAUCAGAGAAACAUCUGACUCUGUCCCCAGAAGCAUUCAACACCACUAAACAUGAUCUAGGACUUACUACAUCAGAAAUGAAAGACAACUUUCUGUUGUUUAAGACAUUCAACCUGUGGUCCUUGUUAUAGCCGUCACAACAAUAAAUACAAGGUAAAAUAUGCUGGGAAGAAACGUGAGAAGAAAACCUUGAAAUAAGCAAAGGUCUUCGGGAUUCCAGUGUCUACUGAAGACCAGCCGAGAUGCCCAUCUUCAUGAACUGAAAAACUACUGGAUUCCUGGACCAGUAGACAGCCAUUGUUGGGCUAGCUAGACCACAGCCUGGAAGACACUCUAAUAAAUCCCCCUUUUAUGUCUCUGAAGAGAUUUGCUA